rnacentral:rRNA from 1 species
AUGAACGCUGGCGGCGUGCCUAAUACAUGCAAGUCGAGCGAACAGACGAGGAGCUUGCUCCUCUGACGUUAGCGGCGGACUGGUGAGUAACACGUGGAUAACCUACCUAUAAGACUGGGAUAACUUCGGGAAACCGGAGCUAAUACCGGAUAAUAUAUUGAACCGCAUGGUUCAAUAGUGAAAGACGGUUUUGCUGUCACUUAUAGAUGGAUCCGCGCCGCAUUAGCUAGUUGGUAAGGUAACGGCUUACCAAGGCAACGAUGCGUAGCCGACCUGAGAGGGUGAUCGGACACACUGGAAAUGAGACACGGUCCAGACUCCGACGGGAGGCAGCAGUAGGGAAUCUUCCGCAAUGGGAGAAAGCCUGACGGAGCAACGCCGCGUGAGUGAUGAAGGUCUUCGGAUCGUAAAACUCUGUUAUUAGGGAAGAACAAAUGUGUAAGUAACUAUGCACGUCUUGACGGUACCUAAUCAGAAAGCCACGGCUAACUACGUG